GUAAUCUUCUGUCAAAGCUGGUGUGUGAAAACUACUUUGUUUCUGCUCGAUGCUGCUGGCCUCUACAUUUCUUAACAAGAGGAUAAGAAAUGGCUCUCAACGUGUCACAUUUAAUAAAUGCAUGAGCUGGGAAGAACAUGAGAACUGAAAUAUAUCAGUCUCCGACAGCAAGUGGCCUGCUGAUGGUACUGAUCUCCUACCACCGGGAAGAAGAUUCAGGAGCAUGAAAACCACAACCGCCAGGUUCAAGAACAGGGUCUUCCCUGCAACCAUCAGGGUUUUGAACAUUACACAACAUUAAUCUCAGAUACUUUGAUCGUCUAUCGAUUGUGUCUUUGAUUGGACUAUGGACCAAGGUUGUUGCACUAUUAUAGUCAUACAGCUUGGAAAUAGGCCCUUUGGCCCAACUUACCCACACCGACCAACAUGUCCCAUCUACACUAGUCCAACCUGCCUGUGUUUGGUGCAUAUCACUCAAAUUGUGAUUACCGAAUAUUACAAUUAUUAAUUUAUUGUGUUAUUAUUAUAUAUUUAUCUGUGCAUUAAUACAUUUACAGGCCUGUUAAGGUGCUGCAGUAAGAAUAUUAUUGUUCCUUUGCCUGUACAUGUGUCAAAUAAACAAGCUUGACUUUUGAGUCUUGA